rnacentral:tRNA from 4 species
GCUCCCGUAGCUCAGCUGGAUAGAGCAACGGAUUUCUAAUCCGUAGGUCGCAGGUUCGAAUCCUGCCGGGAGCG